rnacentral:rRNA from 1 species
UAAGCAUAUCAAUAAGCGGAGGAAAAGAAACCAACAGGGAUUGCCCUAGUAACGGCGAGUGAAGCGGCAACAGCUCAAAUUUGAAAUCUGGCUCUCGGGCCCGAGUUGUAAUUUGUAGAGGAUACUUUUGAUGCGGUGCCUUCCGAGUUCCCUGGAACGGGACGCCAUAGAGGGUGAGAGCCCCGUCUGGUUGGAUGCCAAAUCUCUGUAAAGUUCCUUCGACGAGUCGAGUAGUUUGGGAAUGCUGCUCUAAAUGGGAGGUAUAUGUCUUCUAAAGCUAAAUACCGGCCAGAGACCGAUAGCGCACAAGUAGAGUGAUCGAAAGAUGAAAAGCACUUUGAAAAGAGAGUUAAAAAGUACGUGAAAUUGUUGAAAGGGAAGCGUUUAUGACCAGACUUGGGCUUGGUUAAUCAUCUGGGGUUCUCCCCAGUGCACUUUUCCAGUCCAGGCCAGCAUCAGUUUUCCCCGGGGGAUAAAGACUUCGGGAAUGUGGCUCUCUUCGGGGAGUGUUAUAGCCCGUUGUGUAAUACCCUGGGGGGGACUGAGGUUCGCGCAUCUGCAAGGAUGCUGGCGUAAUGGUCAUCAACGACCCGUCUUGAAACACGGACCAAGGAGUCGUCUUCGUAUGCGAGUGUUCGGGUGUCAAACCCCUACGCGUAAUGAAAGUGAACGCAGGUGAGAGCUUCGGCGCAUCAUCGACCGAUCCUGAUGUUCUCGGAUGGAUUUGAGUAAGAGCAUACGGGGCCGGACCCGAAAGAAGGUGAACUAUGCCUGUAUAGGGUGAAGCCAGAGGAAACUCUGGUGGAGGCUCGCAGCGGUUCUGACGUGCAAAUCGAUCGUCAAAUAUGGGCAUGGGGGCGAAAGACUAAUCGAACCUUCUAGUAGCUGGUUUCCGCCGAAGUUUCCCUCAGAUAGCAGUGUUGAACUCAGUUUUAUGAGGUAAAGCGAAUGAUUAGGGACUCGGGGGCGCUAUUUAGCCUUCAUCCAUUCUCAACUUUAAAUAUGUAAGAAGCUCUUGUUGCUUAAUUUGAACGUGAGCAUUCGAAUGUAUCAACACUAGUGGG